rnacentral:tRNA from 1 species
GUCCCUGUGGCGAAAUGGUAUCGCGUCCGACUCCUAAUCGGAAGAUUGGGGUUUCGAGUACCCCCUGGGACC